rnacentral:rRNA from 1 species
UACAGAGGUCCCAAGCGUUGUUCGGAUUCAUUGGGCGUAAAGGGUGCGUAGGUGGCGCCGUAAGUGGGGUGUGAAAUUUCGGAGCUUAACUCCGAAACUGCAUUCCAUACUGCGGUGCUUGAGGACUGGAGAGGAGACUGGAAUUUACGGUGUAGCAGUGAAAUGCGUAGAGAUCGUAAGGAAGACCAGUGGCGAAGGCGGGUCUCUGGACAGUUCCUGACGCUGAGGCACGAAGGUCAGGGGAGCAAACGGG